GGCCGGUUCAGUGUAUUCAGAAGUUUAAGAUUCAGGAAGAGGUGAUCGAGCAGGCGAACAGUACCCAGUACGACAUGGCAGCGGCGGUGUUUACCCGGAGUGUGGAGCGGGCACUGAGUGUCUCUGCUGCGCUGGAGGCUGGUACCAUGUGGGUGAACUGUUAUAACACCCUCCACGCCCAGACUCCGUUUGGUGGUUAUAAGAUGUAGGGGAAUGGACGAGAGCUGGGCGAGUACGCGCUGGCGGAAUACUGUGAGGUCAAAGCCGUCACCAUCAAGCUUAACGAGCAGGGCCAAAAGUAUUGGGACGCCUGAUCAUGAGCUCGUCUGAGAGCCGGAGCGGCUUCGAGGCGAAUCUCCGAAUGUACUAAAGCGACUCGACCAAAACCCACAACAUAUAUAGAGAGACCAGAAGCAGUUCACAGACGAACGUCAUCCAAUCGGACGGAUUUUGAGAGGAUCUGGCUUGACGAACGGGGUAAACAGCCUAAAUCCAGAUGUGUGAAGCUUGUAGAGACGCAUCCAAGUGACCUGCAGCUGUAAUCGCUGUCAAAGUGGCAUCCACAGACUUCUGAAUAAA